ACGCUGGCGGCAGGCCUAACACAUGCAAGUCGAGCGGUAGAGAGAAGCUUGCUUCUCUUGAGAGCGGCGGACGGGUGAGUAAUGCCUAGGAAUCUGCCUGGUAGUGGGGGAUAACGUUCGGAAACGGACGCUAAUACCGCAUACGUCCUACGGGAGAAAGCAGGGGACCUUCGGGCCUUGCGCUAUCAGAUGAGCCUAGGUCGGAUUAGCUAGUUGGUGGGGUAAUGGCUCACCAAGGCGACGAUCCGUAACUGGUCUGAGAGGAUGAUCAGUCACACUGGAACUGAGACACGGUCCAGACUCCUACGGGAGGCAGCAGUGGGGAAUAUUGGACAAUGGGCGAAAGCCUGAUCCAGUCAUGCCGCGUGUGUGAAGAAGGUCUUCGGAUUGUAAAGCACUUUAAGUUGGGAGGAAGGGCAGUAAAUUAAUACUUUGCUGUUUUGACGUUACCGACAGAAUAAGCACCGGCUAACUCUGUGCCAGCAGCCGCGGUAAUACAGAGGGUGCAAGCGUUAAUCGGAAUUACUGGGCGUAAAGCGCGCGUAGGUGGUUCGUUAAGUUGGAUGUGAAAUCCCCGGGCUCAACCUGGGAACUGCAUUCAAAACUGACGAGCUAGAGUAUGGUAGAGGGUGGUGGAAUUUCCUGUGUAGCGGUGAAAUGCGUAGAUAUAGGAAGGAACACCAGUGGCGAAGGCGACCACCUGGACUGAUACUGACACUGAGGUGCGAAAGCGUGGGGAGCAAAC
rnacentral:rRNA from 1 species